CGGUGGUAUCCUUCCUCCGGAGUCGUGGAGUACGUCUGAUCAUCUAUUUGGACGACAUCUUGCUGAUGGCCCAAUCAAGAGAAUUACUGACGAUUCAUGUAUCGUGGACUACGUCCUUACUCCAGAACCUAGGUUUUCUCAUCAAUUGGGAGAAGUCGGUAUUAGACCCCACCCAAUCGAUAGAAUUUCUGGGGUUUACAGUGGACUCCGUCCAACAAUUCCUGUUCCUUCCGGAGUCCAAGAUGAAGGCGAUCAAGAAGGAGAUCAGAAGUACACUGCGUGCAGACGACAUCUCUAUCCGACAUCUGGCGAGGGUAAUCGGCCUCUUGGCCGCCUCGAUACAAGCAAUUUUCCCUGGCCCUCUCCAUUACUGGGCCCUUCAACGCUUAAAAGGCUCUCACCUACAUGCCGGACACUCUUAUGAACAGAGAGUGAGACUCGACGACGAGUCCAGAGACGAGCUGACCUGGUGGCUGGCCCACAUGGACGCCUGGAACGGGAGAGCCAUAUUCGGUUCUGUCCCGGACAUCGUGAUAGAGUCAGAUGCCAGCUUACACGGCUGGGGCGCGCGUUGUGGUGCCGCAUCUACUGGAGGCAGAUGGUCGAAUCAGGAGCGAACACUCCAUAUCAACUGUCUGGAGCCAUUGGCAGGUGCAUUCGCUAUUCGCAGCCUCACGCCGGAACGGGCGAAUUGUUGCGUGAUGCUCAAGAUGGACAAUGUGUCAGCGGUCCGAUACAUCAAUCACCUGGGAGGCAC